CAAUUGUUUGUUUCUUUUAAUCCUUGGAGCAGCCUCGUUGGUAGGGGUCCUUUCUCACUUUAACUCAGGAGAUGAGGAUAGGGGCCAAGCAGUCACGUGACUUAAUCAAGCACCUGAAGCUAGUCAGUUCCUAAGGCGCUGAGACCCUGCCCCAGGUCUUUGGGGUUCUAAAGUUCAAAUUCUUUCAGUUACCUGCAUUGCAUGAUAUCCCAAGCAUGUGGGCUUUCAAAGAAUGCCCACAAUCUGGGCUGUUAAAAAAAAAAAAAACAACAAAAAACCACCAGGAGAACAAUUGCUGAGGCUGAAUUCAAGCUACUGACUCACAGAACUCCUGACUGUAACCUUCUGCUUCCAGCAUGCACCUGGAGCAUCCUUCAGAUGGGCCGGCUAUGCUGGUUAGGACAACUGCAAGAGGACCCUGGGUGUCCUGGGCCCUGGAGGGCUUUCUGAGUGUGACUCGACGAACCCCAUCUAUGAAAUGGGUCUGGCUAUCGCUUGUGUCUCAUGUCCACAGCUCUGGGUUCUGCACGUUCGGGGAGGCUGGGGCCCAGUCUUGCAGCAGUUGGCAGACUCCUGGCAGAACCCACUGGGAGUAGAAGUUCAAGAAGGGAGCCAGCCAUGAGUGAACACCAGCUACAUGCAUUCUGAGUGAGUAAGCCUGGCUGUCUGGCUGAGCGGGGUUUGAAUUUUUCUUUAUUGCUUUCAUGCUGUGUGUUCCUGGGCAAGUCACUUAACUGCUCUGAGCUUUCAUUGUCUCCUUUGGGAAGUGGGUCCAAUAGGAUGUACUUCAUGUGGCUCUUUUUAGACUUUCAUAGGCUUUAAAGUGCCUGCUAGUAGGUUAGUUUUGUUUUUUUUUUUUAAUAGACUAUUUAGUUGAAAAAUUGUGUAUUCAUUUGUAACACUUGCUGGUUGGAACUCACACCUGUGCUGCUGCUGCUAAGUCGCUUCAGUUGUGCCCAGCUCUUAGCAACCCCAUGGACUAUAGCCUACCAGGCUCCUCCAUCCAUGGGAUUUUCCAGGCAAGAGUACUGGAGUGGGGUGCCAUUGCCUUCUCCGACUCACACCUGUAGCCGCUGUUUUUUCUAAAUGACUGCAGUGAGAAGUCAGGAGAAAUAGCCAGAAACCUAUAGGCCUGGUUCCUGAAUUUUUCUGGCUUUGCCCAAAAUAGUUAAGAUCUGAAAGAUCAGUGAAGGUGCUGUGGGUGUUUUCUACAUUCAUAGGGGAAAGCAGCUUUUCAGUCAACAAUAUGAAAAUAAUUGGCUGGAAGAAAUUAGGUGAGUUUAACUUCAAAAUAUAUCACCAAAGUGUUCCCCCCAUAAAACAACCUUCUAUUAAGACAAUUAUAUGUAAUGUAUAUUGCAAAAUGAAAGUUUCUAUUUUUGUAUUUGGACAAAACAUGAAACUGUACUGCAUGUUUUAUUUCUUAGUCCGUGUUAAGUUGCCACCCCUUCUUUGUGGAAAAAGAUGAUCUUAUAUUCUGUGAUGGUGUCCUUUUAUUUUUCAUGGUUAGAAAACAUUCUUUCUCUUAUGAAAUGACAGUGGUGAUGGUUUUAAGUUUUGGAAACUUAUUAGUGAAUAGACAAUAUAUGUAGAGUGUUUAAAGGGCUCCAAAGAUAAAUAAAGUGAAUCUCCCUCCCUUCCCUGACUCUCA
rnacentral:lncRNA from 1 species